UGCCUGUUAAUGAAGUGGUAACAUGGGAGCCUUUGAAGCUCUAAUCGUUGGUUCGAAUCCAACACAGGCAA
rnacentral:tRNA from 1 species